rnacentral:rRNA from 1 species
GAUGAACGCUGGCGGCGUGCCUAAUACAUGCAAGUCGAGCGGACAGAUGAGGAGCUUGCUCCUCUGACGUUAGCGGCGGACGGGUGAGUAACACGUGGAUAACCUACCUAUAUGUCUGGGAUCACUUCGAGACACCGGCGCUAAUACCGGAUAAUAUAUUGCACCGCAUGGUUCAAUAGUGAAAGACGGUUUUGCCGGCGGUUGUGGAUGGAUUCGCGCCGCAUCAGCUCGUUGGUAGGGUAGCGGCUUACCAAGGCGACGAUGGGUAGCCGGCCUGAGAGGGUGACCGGCGACAUUGGGACUUAGAUACGGCCCAGACGCCUACGGGAGGCAGCAGUGGGGAAUCUUGCACAAUGGGCGGAAGCCUGAUGAAGCAACGCCGCGUGCGGGAUGACGGCCUUCGGGGUGUAAACCGCUUUCGCCUGUGACGAAGCGUGAGUGACGGUAAUGGGUAAAGAAGCACCGGCUAACUACGUG